rnacentral:rRNA from 1 species
AUUGAACGCCGGCGGCAUGCUUAACACAUGCAAGUCGAACGGCAGCGCGGGAAAGCUUGCUUUCCUGGCGGCGAGUGGCGGACGGGUGAGUAAUACUUAGGAAUCUGCCCACUAGUGGGGGAUAGCCCGGGGAAACUCGGAUUAAUACCGCAUAAGCCCUACGGGGGAAGGCUGGGGACCCGAGCACCAUAGCCUUUUGUCCAACCGCUCAAGGCGAGAAGAGGCUAUGGUGCUGGGCCUGGCGCUAGUGGAUGAGCCUAAGUCCUAUCAGCUAGUUGGUGGGUAAAAGCCUACCAAGGCGACGACGGGUAGCUGGUCUGAGAGGAUGAUCAGCCACACUGGGACUGAGACACGGCCCAGACUCCUACGGAGGCAGCAGUGGGGAAUAUUGGACAAUGGGCGAAAGCCUGAUCCAGCAAUGCCGCGUGUGUGAAGAAGGCCUGC